GAUGAAGAACGCAGCGAAAUGCGAUAAGUAAUGUGAAUUGCAGAAUUCAGUGAAUCAUCGAAUCUUUGAACGCACAUUGCGCCCGUCAGUAUUCUGGCGGGCAUGCCUGUUCGAGCGUCAUUACGCCCCUCAAGUCCCCUGUGGACUUGGUGUUGGGGAUCGGCGAGGCUGGUUUUCCAGCACAGCCGUCCCUUAAAUUAAUUGGCGGCCUCGCCGUGGCCCUCCUCUGCGCAGUAGUAAAACACUCGCAACAGGAGCCCGGCGCGGUCCACUGCCGUAAAACCCCCCAACUUUUUAUAGUUGACCUCGAAUCAGGUAGGACUACCCGCUGAACUUAAGCAUAUCAAUAAGCGGAGGA
rnacentral:misc_RNA from 1 species